UCUUCCACAAUGGACGAAAGUCUGAUGGAGCAACGCCGCGUGAGUGAAGAAGGUUUUCGGAUCGUAAAACCCUGUUGUUGGAGAAGAACGUGCGUGAGAGUAACUGUUCACGCAGUGACGGUAUCCAACCAGAAAGCCACGGCUAACUACGUGCCAGCAGCCGCGGUAAUACGUAGGUGGCAAGCGUUAUCCGGAUUUAUUGGGCGUAAAGCGAGCGCAGGCGGUUUCUUAAGUCUGAUGUGAAAGCCCUCGGCUUAACCGAGGAAGUGAAUCGGAAACUGGGAAACUUGAGUGCAUAAGAGGACAGUGGAACUCCAUGUGUAGCGGUGAAAUGCGUAGAUAUAUGGAAGAACACCAGUGGCGAAGGCGGCUGUCUGGUCUGUACCUGACGCUGAGGCUCGAAAGCAUGGGUAGCGAACAG
rnacentral:rRNA from 1 species